AGGCAUACCUCUGGUCCAAAAACUGAAGUCAAAAUUAGGACAAAUUAAUAAAAUCAAAUUGCAUCUCUGAACUUAGCUCUUACAGAUAAGAACAUGUUGUUUAUAUCUGCAGAAGGGAGCCUAAAACUGUGAUGCUGCAAACAAAAAAUCAAACUUACACUUUUUAGCCUCAUUUAUUUACAUUCUUGAGUUUAACUUGUCAUUUACAUUGUAUACAAUUGCAGGAAGUGGUUUUCAAAGUGAAUGUACAGAAUGCUAAAGAAAAAAGAGAGGCUAUGAAGGCAGUUUCCAGCGUUGCAGGUUUACUAUAUAUUAUGUUGGUUUUGUUUUCAUUAUAUUUCCAUUUGACCGAGUACUAUAAGUUUCCCUAAUUAAACUUUGUUUUGAAAUAUUUACAGGGAUCCGAUCGAUAGCUAUGGAUAUGAAACACAAGAAAUUGACGGUGAUCGGAGUUACUAACCUAGUUGUUAUCAUCAGCAAACUUAGAAAGCGUUGGGACACAAAGGUUCUGAGUGCUGGCCCAGCCAGAGGUUUGUGGAAGCUUAUAGGGCCUACAAUCCUUUCAUGACACAUUACUCUGUUCACAAAUUAUACAAGAGUAUACACAUGUACCUAGUGCAUCUUUUCUUGUACGCUUUAAAUAUCUUUGGAAUAUAUGGAUAUUCCAGCGGAAUGGUGGUCUGGAUGAUGGCGACGGAGGUGGUAGUGGUGGUAGCAGUGGGGUGGUGAUGAGAAAUUAUGGUUGUACUAUGUUUGUGUGUCCUGAAUACAAAGGCAAAACAAUCAUUCUUGAAAUGAAAUUUAACCAAACUUGUGACCAAAUAAGCACCAAUAGAGUCUAAUUUUAAGCUACAUGUUACUCCAAAUCCAUUCUCCAACUUAAAGGAGAUGAAUUUUGAUAGAAAUUAUGGUUGUAGUAUGUUUGUGUGUUCACUAUAUAUUAUAAAAUCAGGAUUCUGCUACACAUUUAGUGGAUAUUUGUUUGGUUUCUAACUAUGCAAGGCGUUUGAUUAACAACCAAUAAGCCUCGGACAUACCAAAAGAAUACUUAAUUAGAGUGUCAUAAGCCAAAGUUCCUAAAAUUUGUAGUUGUCUUCUCCAUGCUUCAAAAAACUACCUAAAGAGUUUAGCUUUACCACAUCUAUCUUAAAAAGAAAUUUAAGGACCAAUGUUUAGACUUGUGAUUUCAAACCUCAUUCUUCCAGGAACCCAAAUCCAUUGCCAUAUCAAACAAGCUGUUAGUGACAUGGCAUUGGAAUUCAAGAAAAGAAGCCCCCUUGGUUUUCUGCUUCUGAAAAAUAAAAGUUCAUUGGAUCUCUGGAAGUCAAAGGAAUUCCCCUUCAACUAGAAAACUGAAAAAAAUGUUUAAUCUUAGUGAAACUCCUAGUGAUCUUUUAAAUUAUAUAUUAAGUAAUACACAAAGCCAUGCGCUUAAAGCAUUUCACAAUGCUUCGAUAAUUUAAUAUUACUACGCUACACAUCCUUAUUUCACACAUGCAGUCGAUGAUCAGAAACAAUAACAAAGUAUUGUUUCACUAAAAUUCUCUCAAUGAAGGCAAAUUUCAAUAUUUCAGAUUAGGUAAUAACAGAUACAUUUGCACAAAAAACUCAGUAUGAAACAUAUAGAACCAUUCGCUAAAACCACUUGUGUAGCUUAAAAGCAUCUUUCUAUUACAACUACUAGAACUUCCUCAAAAAAAUCCAAAUAACAAUUUAAUCAAAACUUACUUUGUUUUGCAUGGGGAAAUUGAUGAAAUUGUGAUCGAUCGGUAUAAAAGUAUCUUUCUAUUACAACUACUAUAACUUCCACAAAUUUUCAUGUCUUCCUGCAAAAAUGUGUGUCUUCAAGAAGUGCGUUUGUAAAACCUAAAACCGAUCGGCACAAAUAUGUCAUUCUGUUCGGUAAUACCUAAAACGGUUCUACACAAAACAUCAAAAUAAUCGUCGUAAAAUAGGUAAUCGGGAAUUGUAGACACAGAAUGAUGAAAAAACCUUAUCUGUUGAAGGAAUAGAACAUGUGAAGUGUGAGCUUGGAAUCCGUAGCCGGAUUUGAAACCUCGAUCCAGUAAACCCACAGUACUAUUUUCACAUCCAACCCCGAUUUUCCCCUUCUGCCAAAACAACACUCAGUUUUUCCAGCGUUUCAUCAGAACCAAACAUUUCCCAGAAAUAUUCCGGCAAAGUUAUGAAGGAGGGUACCGAAGAAGACCGGUUCGUCUGUGGCCGGGGCGUUAGGCAGGACGCGAAGAACCAAAGGAGUGUCGAUGUAGGAAAGAAGAUGCCGAAUCACCGGUGAGAUGGGGGAGGGGUAAAUCGGUAAUAAUAGAAAGUAUGAUAAAAUUAU
rnacentral:lncRNA from 1 species